GACGAACGCUGGCGGCGUGCUUAACACAUGCAAGUCGAACGGAAAGGCCCCUUUGGGGGUACUCGAGUGGCGAACGGGUGAGUAACACGUGAGUAAUCUGCCCUUGACUUCGGGAUAACUUCAGGAAACUGGGGCUAAUACCGGAUAGGAAUCCUUGCUGCAUGGUGGGGGUUGGAAAGCUUCGGCGGUUUUGGAUGGACUCGCGGCUUAUCAGCUUGUUGGUGGGGUAGUGGCUUACCAAGGCUUUGACGGGUAGCCGGCCUGAGAGGGCGACCGGCCACAUUGGGACUGAGAGACGGCCCAGACUCCUACGGGAGGCAGCAGUGGGGAAUAUUGCACAAUGGGCGGAAGCCUGAUGCAGCAACGCCGCGUGCGGGAGGACGGCCUUCGGGUUGUAAACCGCUUUCAGCAGGGGCGAAGCUUGUGGUGACGGUACCUGCAGAAGAAGCACCGGCUAACUACGUG
rnacentral:rRNA from 1 species